GUGCAGCAGGCGCGAAUACUUUACAAUGUGCGAAAGCACGAUAAGGGAACUCUGAGUGCCUCCUAAGGAGGCUGUUCUGAUGUCUAAAAGCAACAGAAGUAAGGGCUGGGUAAGACCGGUGCCAGCCGCCGCGGUAACACCGGCAGCCAAGUGGUAGCCACGUUUAUUGGGUCUAAAGCGUUCGUAGCCGGCCAGGUAAGUUCCUUGGUAAAUUUAGCCGCUUAACGGUUAAGCUUUCAGGGAAUACUGCUUGGCUUGGGACUGGGAGAGGUCAGAGGUACUCCGGGGGUAGGGGUGAAAUCUAUUAAUCCCUGGGGGACCACCGGUAGCGAAGGCGUCUGACCAGACCAGGUCCGACGGUGAGGGACGAAGGCUAGGGGCGCGAACCGGAUUAGAUAUCCGUGUAGU
rnacentral:rRNA from 1 species